GAGGCAUUGUGGGUUCUCCUACAAGUUGCUGUCUGAGCUGUUGGUUCUCCUGGAGAAGCUUUGGUCCUAACAUCAAGCAUUGCUUCCUGGCUCCGGAGGGGAAGACAUGCGCUGCUUGGUCUCCAGGAUGAACUCAUCACGCUGCUUCCUGGCAUGUACCCGACUGUGCUUGUCGGAGGAGGAGCUCGGGGCCUCCGUGUCGCUGAGGACAGCUGUGGUGCCUAGCCCUGCUUUUGUUAUACUGGAACAAAUGCACGCAAGUACGAUACUCAUUAAGGCACCGCGAAUCCUGUGAGAGAUUGUCCAUGGGACCUCCAUAUUAUCAAGCCAAUUUUCUACAGAGCUGAGUCUCAACAUGCAGUUCAGGCUGGUCUUGACCUCACAGUGAUCCUCCUGCCUGGGCCUCCAAGUACUGGGAUUACAAGCAUGCACCAUUGUGCCAGGCUCUCCUGAAGUGUUGAAAGUUAUUUUUUUCCAAGAAGACAACGCUUAGUUACCAGUAACUGUCUUUUAGUAUGUCAAAUAUUUUAUUCCCUUUUCCUCUCACUUCCAUAUUUUCUGGUGGAAAAUCAACUAUUAAUCUCACUUUUAUUUCAUAAGAGUGCUUUCUAAUCUAUAACUGCCUUGCUUCCUUUUAAGAUUUUUCUCUUUUGCCCUUGGAUUUUGAUGGUUUGACUAUGGCAUCUGGAGGUGUGAGGGUUUUCUUUUUAUUUGACAUGCUUGGGGCCCACAGAACCUCAUGAUUCCAUGUGCUGGUGUCUUCUACACAUUAUGGAAAGUUCUCAACCAUUUCCUCCUCAUAUUGCUUCUGUACUGUUUUUUUCCUCCCCUGUCUUCUUGGACUUCAUUAUCUGUGUUUGACAUUUUCACUAUGUUCCAUGAGACUACACAUUUGUAAUUUUUUUUAUCCUUUCUUGUCCCUCUGUUUAAGGUCCCUCGAAGUUCAUUAAUCAUGUCUUGU